rnacentral:rRNA from 1 species
GACGAACGCUGGCGGCGUGCCUAAUACAUGCAAGUCGAGCGCAGGAAACUGACGGAACUCUUCGGAGGGAAGGCAGCGGAAUGAGCGGCGGACGGGUGAGUAACACGUAAGGAACCUGCCUCAAGGAUUGGGAUAACUCCGAGAAAUCGGAGCUAAUACCGGAUAGUUCAACGGACCGCAUGGUCCGUUGAUGAACGGCGCCCCGGCGUCACCUUGAAAUGGCCUUGCGGUGCAUUAGCUAGUUGGUGGGGUAACGGCCCACCAAGGCGACGAUGCAUAGCCGACCUGAGAGGGUGAUCGGCCACACUGGGACUGAGACACGGCCCAGACUCCUACGGGAGGCAGCAGUAGGGAAUCUUCCACAAUGGACGAAAGUCUGAUGGAGCAACGCCGCGUGAGUGAUGAAGGUUUUCGGAUCGUAAAACUCUGUUGUAAGGGAAGAACACGUACGAGAGGGAAUGCUCGUACCUUGACGGUACCUUACGAGAAAGCCACGGCUAACUACGUGCCAGCCGCCGCCGUAA